rnacentral:rRNA from 1 species
GACGAACGCUGGCGGCGUGCCUAAUACAUGCAGGUAGAACGCUGAAGGAGGAGCUUGCUUCUCUGGAUGAGUUGCGAACGGGUGAGUAACGCGUAGGUAACCUGCCUGGUAGCGGGGGAUAACUAUUGGAAACGAUAGCUAAUACCGCAUAAGAGUAGAUGUUGCAUGACAUUUGCUUAAAAGGUGCAAUUGCAUCACUACCAGAUGGACCUGCGUUGUAUUAGCUAGUUGGUGGGGUAACGGCUCACCAAGGCGACGAUACAUAGCCGACCUGAGAGGGUGAUCGGCCACACUGGGACUGAGACACGGCCCAGACUCCUACGGGAGGCAGCAGUAGGGAAUCUUCGGCAAUGGACGGAAGUCUGACCGAGCAACGCCGCGUGAGUGAAGAAGGUUUUCGGAUCGUAAAGCUCGGUUGUAAGAGAAGAACGAGUGUGAGAGUGGAAAGUUCACACUGUGACGGUAUCUUACCAGAAAGGGACGGCUAACUACGUG